AGUCACUGCUUUUAACCACUGAGCAGUUCUGAAACGUUCCUUUUUUUUUUUUUUUAAUAACUCAAUUUUACUUAUUUCCAAGUAGCACUUAUCCCAGAUAUUUUGUAUCUAAUUAUACCCUAACUUUCAGACUUAUAUCCUGAGCUAAGCUUUUUUUAUUUUUGUUUUUAGGAGCAGAAUUUCAGUUUGUUGAGAAAGGGUGGGUACUCUGGAGAGUGAGGGUGGGCCAGGGGGAAGUGUGUGCUGGGCUAGGUCUUCAUGCUGUUGAAAUAAAAAAAUCUAGGUUCUUCAGAAAUAAACUAUGACGUAGCCCUGGCUGUCCUGGAACUUGCUCCAUAAGCCAGGCUAACCUCGAACUCAAAAGACCCAACUUCCUCUGCCUCCUGAGUUCUGGGAUUAAAGGUCCACUUGGCCUUUAAAAUUUAUUAAUUGGGUAUUUUUUUCAUUUCAUAUGAAUAUUUCAGUAUUUGUUCUAAAAACGACCCAUAACAUAAUCAUGAUACUACUGUCAUCUCUAAAAUGAAACUGACAGUAAUUUCUUAAUACAAGUUGUCUCAUAAAUGUGAAAUAUUAUAGUUUAAUUUAUAGUUUAUUUAAUCAGUAUAUGUUCCUUUGACAAGGAGUCUCUAGGUCUUGUAAGGCUUAGUAUACAGUAUACAGAUUGAUUGCAUCCGCCACCUCCUGCUCCUUCAGCUUAUUGGUUACCAUCUACGUUCCUUAAUGUUUACUCCGGUUGUUCUUCUCUCCUUCCCGGUUCCUGUAGAUGCUACACUGUAAAGCACUGACCAAUUGAGAUUACAGUAGAUUUCUGUUUAGUUGGUUGGUUGGUUGGUUGAUUAGCUGGUAGUUUUUUUACAAAAUACUUUUUAAUAAAAUCAUGUGCUUAGAGGUGUGGUAGGAAACAAGAUCCUUAUACUUGUGUGUGAUGUUAGUGAAUGGGAAUUCAGGAGAGAGGGAUGAUGGGGAUGGGGUGGUCCUGUCAAAGAAUACCCUCAUGGAGGUGGCAAGAGAAGGCAAGGAGAGGACGCAUCGAGGGCACCAGGAGCCGGGCAGGCAGGUCGGAAGGAAAUUCGGGCAGCCUGCUCUGGAAGGCUCUGAAGCCAAGUGGAGCUAGCAGUUGCUGUAGUGCUUUGUGUAGAGCUAUCAAAAGUCUUUAGCUGGCGUGAGAGUCAAUGGAAAUACUGUUUUAGAAAGCGCUGGAAAGAGUUUAAGGUUAAGGACGGAGUUUGUAGACUUGUAGGGGGCAGAGGAAGGGAGUCACUAUAAAUGAAUGUGGUAGAGUCAGUUCAGCAAAAUAGGAAGCUGGAGUAGGAGGUUAAGGAAGAGGUUGUUAGUAUCACUGGGGCAAAGGGAAAAUGAGAGAAAAAAGCACCUGGAAUUUUAAGAGUAGGAAUAGGCAACAAGGAGAUAGGAAUGUAACUAUCCUGAGGACUCGGGUCUCUUCGUGUCAUUCUUUUUCUUUCUUUUUUUAUGGUUUAUUGAUUUUAUGUAUGUGAGUACACUGUAGCUGUCUUCAGACACACCAGAAGAGACAUCAGAUCCCAUUCCAGAUGGUGUGAGCCACCAUGUGGUUGCUGGGAAUUGAACUCAGGACCUCUGGAAGAGCAGUUGGUGUUCUCAACCACUGAGCCAUCUCACCAGCCCCCUCUUCAUGUCAUUCUUUUGAUUUAGAAAAUACUUGUUUAUGGAUAUUUUUCUGCCUUGUUUACUUUUAUGAUUGCCCACACCAUACCACACCAACAGAUAACUUAAAAAAUAUAUAAAC
rnacentral:lncRNA from 1 species